rnacentral:lncRNA from 1 species
GCGUUGAUGACACCUUUCGAGGUUACUAAGCACCCUUCUCUUUGCUUUGUUUUAUUCUCUAGGUACCUUAUUUUGGACCAUCGACAUUUCUGAAUUCUCUCCUCAGCUGUGCAGGUAGAUGUGUAUGGAGGAACGCCCAUUGGCCGGUACGAGAACAAUGGAAUGUUGGCUGUUGAGCCUGAGGAGGGAAGGGUCGACCUGUUCAUACUAGCACCCGAGACCUAGCCUUCUUGCAUCAUGCUCGACCAUGUCAUCCUGCUUGCAUCCGUUGUCCUCCUCCGUCCCCUCGUAAGCUAGUUGCUCUCCCUCCUCGUUAAAGCACGAUGAGCAGAUUUGUCUUGUCUCAGUUACAAAAUUUGUAACUGGGAAUGGUUUCUGGUUUGCUUUAGUUACUUACACUUCUGCAAACUAGUCACAUGGAUGGCGUAAUAGACUGAAUCUCUAUAACCUGACGAAAAUUGGACAACAUAUUUCAUUCUUUUUAUGCCUGACUAAAAGAGGCUACAAAUGAUCAUGUCAAGCUGGUUUUCAAUUAUCAUUACUGCACAAGCUACACCAACAAAAAUCUAUGCAACUUUAUUUGUAAGUUGAUUUAUAUCUAAGGGAGACUUGUUUCUCAUUUCAUCAAACGGAAAAAAGGGAGACUUGUUUCUCAUUUUGAAACUGAGUCAGAUUGCACUAGUACACUUCUAAAGUUUGUGUGGGUGGGAUUUAUGUCAUUCUGCUUGAAAAUUUGUAAUCUUGGGCCAUCUAUGCAUUCCUGCGAUGCAAGCGAAUCAGGUGCCAUGACAGACUUGAAUUUUCAAGCUUUGGUAAUUUUUGUGCUGGCCGUCGGGCCAUGUUCUUGCGUGUCGACGGCCAUUGUGCCAUGCUCUCUCUCUCCUUGUUAGUAUAUCUCUCUCUCCAUGUUCUUGGUUUUGUCAUACCUUGGUCAUCAUAUAGCGUCAAACAUAUUCUGCCUUUUUGGCCAUUAUUGAGCUUACCACAUUAUCAUCGUUUGUGUUCUUGGCUUUGGUGACCAUAAAUAUUGUCCUGUCCAUGUUAUUUAGAUCUAAUCAUUGUAACAUCAAACGCCUCCAGCAGAUCUUUAUCAUUAACAUGCCAAGUCUUCUCACUAGUGUUUUGCACAAUCUAGACGCUAAGGAGCUUACUACCAAAGCUUUUUUUAUGUUAUGUAUCCUUAAAUUAUACUACCUUGAACUGCAAAAACGUCUUAUAUUUUGGUACGGAGGGAGUAUUUGUGUUGUGUCCUGUUCUUCAUAGUCUACAACAGUGUAGAAUCAAUUGAUACCCCGUUUGUACAGACUUCAUUCACUUGUAGAUGUUAACUACUCCCUCCGUCCCAUAAUGUAAGACGUUUUUUUUGACACUAGUGUAGUGUCAAAAAACAUCUUACAUUACGGGAUGAAGGGAGUAGUUGAUAUCACUUGUUUAGUUGACUCGAUGGAUACUGCCCAUGCAUGUUUUUGGUUUUGUCAUACCUCAGUCAUCAUAUAGUAUCGAACAUCCUCUCUUUCUCGUCAUCAAUAUUUGUUUAUGAUGCUUGUUCCAGAGUUACUGUAAGGCAGUAUUGUAUCAAUUAGACUUUUAGAGACACAAUGGAGCUUACUACUACAGUUCAGUAUCAAUUUAGACAUAAUGACACCACCAUUGAUUAUCUGUUAAUGUCUCUUGGCCUUGGUCACCAUAAUACUAUCAUGUUCUUUGGAUUCAGUCAUUGUAGCAUCAAACACCUUCUCUUAAGUCUUUAUCGUUAACAUUAACAAUUUCAUGAUUUUUGUUUCAAAGUUAAUGUGCCAAGUCAGCUCACCAGUGUUUUGCAUCAAUUUGGCGCUGACAGCUUACUACUACUACAACUUUUUUAUGUGUCUCCUUAUGUUAGAUUGUGUAUUGCUCUCCAGCUCUUCUGAAUCGUGACCUCCCGAUUCUGCAAGAGUGUGUGCAAUCUAUUGAUAUCCCACUCGUAUAGAUUUCAAUCUCUCAUAGCUGCUACUUUUAGUUUUGCAUUAACACUUGAUUUUUAGAUGAGGACGGAGAUGAAACUAUGGAUUCAUGUUGCAUAGUAUGGGUUAUGACACCCCUAAAUACUCUUGAUGGUGAUGUAUUGUCAUCCGUGCUUAAGGGAUGCUAGUGAAAAGAUCCUGCUGCUGCUAAACCAACCACCACCAUUAAUUGCUUCAGUUUUAUUAAACCAUUGAUUUGUGUGCCUCCAUGUUAGAUUUGUAAGAGUAGCAUGCCUCUGCUUUGGUACUUGCUGCAGUCAUUAGAUCUGAUCCAAGAUUAUGUAGUGUAUAGCUCUUUGGAAUUGAUAAAAUAACCCGUUAACUCUUUGGAAACAGAGGUGUGCUAAGAUACUUAAAAGACUUAUAAUCUGGCUUGUUACUUAUGGUUAAGACAAGGCGUUGUCACUGUUUACCUUCUAGAUGCAGUAUACUUACAGCUCAAAUAGGUUUUCUAAUUUCGCAAAAAAAAGAACUAGGUUGUGUAAAUUACUCGUAAAGUAAACAAUCGACAAUGAUGUCUCGUAAAGCUUCAGAUUUCUCAUAUACGGCAUUCAUAUGUAGCUCAAUAUGGUACAACAUCAUCACUGAUGCAGAGGAGUUGUGGUUGAUCGUGCCAAGCAAGGUGUGUAGUGGUAGGCUCGGUCUCCGGCCUUGGAGUCUUCUGUUGGCCCCAUUGUCAUGCGGCGGAGGCGGUGAUGUUUGGCAUCAGCUACAAAACAGCCAUGGUGAGAUCCUCUUGCAAAUUAGCCAUGGUGAACUUUUAUUUUGUUUCAGAACAUAAAGGGCAGCCCCAGUGCAUGUAGCUCCCGCUUGCGCAGGGUCUGGGGAAGGGUCCGACCACUUUGGGUCUAUUGUACGCAGCCUUUCCCUACUUGAACCCGUGACCUCAUGGUCACAAGGCAGCAGCUUUACCACUGUGCCAAGGCUCCCCUUCUAUUUUGUUUCAGAACAUCACGGGAAAAAUUUCUUGUUACUGUUUGAUUACAGAAAGUGAUGCACUUGGGGAGACAUCUUCUCCUAGAAAGAGUGGAAGUAUCUUUUUCUUAGUGCAAGAUGAACUGUUUAUGAUCAAGACUCUUUGGGUAUCAGAAGUGUAGGUUUUUGUUGUUCUACUCAAUGAUUGUAUGAUAAUAAACAAACCAUGCAUGCUAGUUGACGGUAUAUGUUGGUAACUUGAUAUGGUCUGGUAUGGUCCUGGUCUAUUCAUUUUUCUCUAAGAAACUGAGAUGUAUACCUUCAAUGAUCCAGAGCUUUUAGCUUAUCUGACUUUUAUGAUGUUCUAUUAGAUAGUAGAUUAUGUAAUUUCCAUUUCUGGAAGUGAUGCACUUAGGGAGCCAUGUUUCUAUGUAAUGAUUUUUAUGAUUAAGCUAUGAACAAUUCAUGUUAGUUGACCGUAUAAGUUUGUAGCUUGGUAUAAUGUCUGGUAAAAUGGCAUUGACCAGGCAAUGGGGUUUUUGGUCUCUUUUAUUUUACUCUGAGAAACUGAGAUGGAUACCUUCAAUGGUACAGAGCUUUUAGCUUAUCUGACUUUUUAUAAUGUUCUAUUAGAGUGGAUAAUCAAUAUCCUACGAUUGGUAGUUGGGUCCCAGUGCUAUGCCCUCUUGCCUGAGCUUUUUUCCCCUUGCAUUCAACGGUACAUGCUCCGUUAUUAACUAAUCCAAGUCAUUCAUAGGGAUUGAAAUGCUAUCUUACUUUAUGUUGUUCAGUUGGAAACUUAGAAUCUGUUUAUAUGAUGUGUUUUCUGUGUACAUCUCAAGUUUCUCUUACCAUGGAUGUAAUAAUAGGUGUUGAGCAUGAAUUUCUCACAGGUUUUAUAAUUCUAAGUAUUGUAUAGUCGUACUACUUGCUUAGUUUUACAUUAGCAUGUUAAGGAUCCCUUUUCUGAUCAUGGGCACGAUCUGUGCUUUGUUCAUGUAUUGGGCAGACAUGCGGUCAGGUACAGCCAAGCAUACUCUCUGUGGAGGUGCCGGCAAGCUUCUGAAUGCUGCCGCUAUAGACUACAAAUGCAAGAUGUAACAUCUCAAAUUUUCAAUUUAAAAUGUUAUACAUUAGAUCAUCAUUGCAUAUCAUAUUUUAUUGUAUUUUGGCUUGAUCCUAGAAAUUCUAAGCAACCUAAGGACCCACUCAGAGAUUUGGGGAUUACGUUAUUUUCAUAUUUGAGUUUUCUCAAAUUCUGAGAAGAGGAUCAAUUUGGUUUUAAUUAUAUUUCUUUCCUAAUAUUUACGAAAAAAUAAAAUAUAUGAGAGGAGAUAAAAUGACUUCUCCAAAAUAAAGGAAAUAUUGGAGGAAAAUAUUAAAAAUCAAAUAAAUAUUUUAUUUGGAUUUUUAUUUGAAUUAGAAAAAUUUCACGUUUUCAAAAUUGCAUUUUUAGGCCAAGAAAAUGUUCAACUUGUUCUAAAUAUUUUAUUUAGACGAUGAAAAUUUGUUUUGGCUUUUUUUGAUUUUUAUUUAUUUAUUAGGAUUUAUUUAAGUUUUAGUGGAAUUAAUUUUUUUUUUCAAAAAAACUUCCACGCGGACCGAACUGGGCCGAAGGCCCAGCCGGCCCACAGCGCGCUGUCGUCUCCCGCACCGGCUCGGGACCGAAGUCCCGAGUGAAGCCGUCGCUGCCGCCCGAGUCCGAGAGGAGCACGCCUCCCGAGACGGCCCCUCCCCCAAGCUAGCCGCACCCCCCUCUUUAAAUAGACGGCUGGGGACCCCUGGAGCCCCAAAGCUGGAGCCGCCCAUGCCUCCCGAAGCCGCCCCGCCUCUCGAAGUUGUCGUCGCCGCUGCCGCACUUCCCCGCUGCCGCCGCCCACCGCUGAAGCCGUCGCCCCGCUGGAGCCCCGCCUCACCUUGCCGGACCCGCCGGAGGUAGCCGCCGCUGCCGUGGUUUUCUUAAUGAAAAUCGUCAGUUUUUUUAGAAACCAUGGUUUAUUUUUUUAAUAGAUUGUUUUUUUGGUUUAGUUAUUUAGCGAACGUUCGUUCGUUCAUUUGUUUUAACGAACGAUUUUCACCAUUUAGCCACAGACAACGAACGUUCGUUUGUUAGCCUGUUCGUUAGUUUUCUUUUUCCAGUGUUUCUCCACGAUUAUUUUCGAUCACGAUUUCUGCCCUGAUUUUCGUCUUAGUUUAUCUUUUUGCUCGUUUAUCGUAAUCAGGCGAUUUAAGCGCCUAGAGUUUCGUCUCGAAACCCUCUUUCUGUUUAAUCAACUUAAACAAGUUUUUGCCACUAUAAAAUUUGACUUGAGUCCAGAUUAGUAAAUGAAGCUUGUUUCUUCCGAAGUUUGAGUUUCGUUGUUUUGUUUGUUUUGAUUCUUUUUCCAAACUGGAGUUCUUAAGUUGAACUUUCUGGUUAGUUCUCUUAUUUGAGUUUUAUCCGUGCUUCUAGUUGAGUGCUUAUUGUAUGCUUGUUUGUUUGCGAUAGAGUACCCGGAGUGCGAAGCGUGCUACUAUGAGUCUCUAGGUUUCACGGAUCAUCAACAAGGCAAGUAACACUUUGAUCAUACCCCUUUGCUACCCAGUUUUAUUGCAUUAGAUCAACCAUCAAAAAAUUGCAUGAUUAGGAUCUGAUUAUAUGUGUGUUUUGGGAAGUAGAUGAGGUAGUACCUAUUAUCAAACCUUUGGGAGUUACUUCUACGUUGUUUAUAUUGCUAUGCUAUGCUUGUAGACGUGGAUUGGGUGAGUGUAUUCAUGACAGAUGUGAGUUUUGUUAAUUAAUGGUUAACUUAAGGUGGCUAUUUAAAUGCACAUCUGAGUGGAUUGACGCACCUAGGGAACCCAGUGUUGCCUGCAUUUUUGGAAAUCCCGGGGUACCGCGUGAUUCUCCUAUGGACCGCCACCCAGGCUCAAAGGGAUCAUAAGAUUAUUCAUGCUAGAAACUUCCAUGUGCAGCCAAAAGCUAUUAUGGGCUCUAACAUAGUUGAGUAGGUUGUGUGACCUCUUUAAGUGGUAGACUAGCAUAUGUAGGGGAUGUAGGUUGGUACUGUCUACCCAGAGUAAAGAGUUAAUGCUUCUGAAAGACUGUGUCUCGGUCACUCGUUUCUCAAACAUCAUGUAGUGCGAGAAAUCCAACGGAGGAGAUCGAGUCUUGUGGGGAAAAGUGCGUAAACCUCUGCAGAGUGUACAAACUAAUCAUGGUUAGCCAUGUCCCUGGUUAUGGACGGCUUGAGUAUCUAGUUCUUGGAUUAUCAUGUGGAUCUCAUCACUCUUAAUAUAAUUUUACUGGGUUUAAUGACGAUGCUUAAUUGGGAUUGAGUUGGGUGAACCUUCUCAAGGUUUAACAACCACCAUGAUAGUUAAAUAAAAUUUAUUCCUUUGUUGUAGGAAAAAAUUGGCUUUAUGCAAAACUGUAACCAUAGAGCUAUCCACCAGCCAUAUAUGCAUGUAGUGAUAGCGUUAUUUCUGUUCAUUAUUCUCUAUGUGUUACAUUGCCAGCAUAUUCCAUGUGCUGACUCGUUUUGGGUUGCAAGUUCAUGUUGCAGACUUUUUAGACGAUGAUUAAGGUGCCUUAGGUCAUGAUCUUUCACUCAGUGAUGCCGUUGGAGUUGAUGGACUCACUUUAUCUUCCAAGCCUUCCGCUGUUAUCGUAUUUAGAUGGCCUUAAGCCAUAUUUAUUGUAAUAAGUUCCCUUUUGAGACAUUCGAUGUAAUAAGUGUGUGAUUGCUAUUCUAUUAUAAAU